AUUUUAUGGUACUUUAUUGAAAAACGUCAAGUGAAUCUCCUGCUCAUCAAACCUGCACCUUCCAGGAAUCAUGGGUUUAAUUAUGGGUCUUGACAGCAUAAAAACAUUACCCCAGGCUUAUUUUCUGUGUAUCUACACUCAGAGCAAGCUGCUCAUGAGUUGUGGCUAAGCGUGUAGAGGUGUACGCACUGGAUUCUUCUGACCUCGCCUCUUCACUGCAAAACACAUGUUCCUAAAUUUGCAAACUGGACCCUAAGGCAACUGACCCAUCCCAGGGAAGCAGGCAGGGCCUCAGAGUGGCACUGGCUGGGCGGCAGGUCCUUUCACAUUUUGAGAACAGUACAUGUAGGUGCACGCGGAUUCAAGGAACAGUGAGCUGGAGACAUUGGUGAACAAAUUUUCCACGCUGAAAGGUGGACAUAGUUUCCUAAAAGUAAACCAUCUUUGAAAAAGCAGCAAAAUGAGGGAGCGUUUAUAGUGAGUAGCAGAUUGAAAAAGUGUGGUUCAAUGCAUUGAUCCACUUUGGAGCCAUGAAAGGAUUUUUAAACAGGGAAAUCUUGAAGCAAAAG
rnacentral:lncRNA from 1 species